rnacentral:rRNA from 1 species
UACGUAGGGGGCAAGCGUUGUCCGGAUUCAUUGGGCGUAAAGAGCGUGUGAGCGGCCAGGUAGGUCGGUUGUGAAAACUCGAGGCUCAACCUCGAGACGCCGGUUGAAACCAUCAGGCUAGAGUCCGGAAGAGGAGAGUGGAAUUCCCGGUGUAGCGGUGAAAUGCGCAGAUAUCGGGAAGAACACCCGUGGCUAAGGCGGCUCUCUAGUACGGUACUGACGCUGAGACGCGAAAGCGUGGGGAGCGAACAGG